rnacentral:rRNA from 1 species
AUUGAACGCUGGCGGCAGGCCUAACACAUGCAAGUCGAGCGGAUGAAGGGAGCUUGCUCCUGGAUUCAGCGGCGGACGGGUGAGUAAUGCCUAGGAAUCUGCCUGGUAGUGGGGGAUAACGUCCGGAAACGGGCGCUAAUACCGCAUACGUCCUGAGGGAGAAAGUGGGGGAUCUUCGGACCUCACGCUAUCAGAUGAGCCUAGGUCGGAUUAGCUAGUUGGUGGGGUAAAGGCCUACCAAGGCGACGAUCCGUAACUGGUCUGAGAGGAUGAUCAGUCACACUGGAACUGAGACACGGUCCAGACUCCUACGGGAGGCAGCAGUGGGGAAUAUUGGACGAUGGGCGAAAGCCUGAUCCAGCCAUGCCGCGUGUGUGAAGAAGGUCUUCGGAUGGUAAAGCACUUUAAGUUGGGAGGAAGGGCAGUACGUUAAUACCUUGCUGUUUUGACGUUACCAACAGAAUAAGCACCGGCUAACUUCGUG